rnacentral:lncRNA from 1 species
UAGGGUUUAACACUACUUGAUCUUAUCCGAGCGGUACCGGGAUGGAACUACGGCGGCGAUGGUGAUACUCGUAUCGGAGAAACAUGGCGGAUAUUGUCACCCAUCCACGACAUCUUCUGGUGUUUAAAGGUUGCAGGAGGCUCCGUCAUGUUCUUCUCAGUUCGCCUAGUCGCUAUUCUCUUCCUUAGUUCCUCCGGUCAUCCGCGAUGAAGACUGCCCGCUUCCGGAGCCAUAAAUUCGAUUAUAAUCGGGGCGAUGAUGGCCGCGCGGGCUAACCAAAACAAAUUAUUUUUCUUUGUUAAGUUGAUUUAUGCAUUCGUUUUUAGUCUCUACAAAUUAAAGCCCCUGAUUUUUUUCGAAAUCGAUCGAUUUUUUUCGGCAAUUUAGGAUUUUACUUGUAGUUGAUAUUCAAAUUAAAUCCCCUUGCUUCUAAAAGUAAACUAUGAUUUUCUACAUCAAAAUGCUGUUUUUCUCAGUGAAGUAGUCAUAUAUAUGUUAUUUAUAUUUAUAUUCUUAAUUGUGUUUGCUUUGAUCCAGAGACGAUUCUUGCUUGAUUGUUAGAUUGUGGAAUAAAGCCUGAAAUUCAAAAUCUGAUCGGAGUAAUGCGGCUGUUGGUGGUUGAAGCUGGCCCUCCCUCUAGAUCUCCGGUGUUGCUGUAUGUUGUCUCUCUUUGAUGCAAUCUGAUGCAACAUAAAUUCAUAAUCUUUUGUAGAUGAUUAGAUUCGCAUGUCUUUUAUACUGAAGUAAUAUACAUAUUUCUCAGUUAAGUAUUGUAAUAUAUGGGUUUUUAAGUCCCAUCUGGAAAACUUCUCCUUUAAUCAUUUUAUCACAAUAAACAAUCUUUUUAAAGCAUUAUUGAACUUAUAGGAGACAAUUUGAAAAAAAACCCUCAAAUGAUAUGCUCAAAAGUUAAAACCAAUAAUGGAUCAGUCUUUAGCACCACACUCAUUCCAAUAUUGAGCAUGAUUACAACACACACAACUACUAGUUCACUAAGAAAUACACAUACUAAAUACCAACCCUUGUUGGUUUUCAAAUCAUACUACUAACAAUCUUUAAGAAUUUGUAGUAUACUUUAGGCAUCCAAUCUGGGCUUUUUAAAAAGAGCCCAUGAAAUUGGAUCAUUAUCACUAUAAAAAACUAUCAACCAAUUAGUAACAUAAACAACCAAAGAGUAGAAUCUUGAGUUAGGAAUUAGGAUGCUAAAACUGUCUUCCUGUGUAGGUUUGCCCAAAUGACCAGUUCACAGGUGCAACAUUGUUAGAAAUUACGGUUUUGCCAUCACUCGUUGUAACUUUAAACGAUAGAGUUUGACCAUUAAGGUAACUAUUACUCUGCCAAUUUUGACCCCAAUUACGACUC